GACGAACGCUGGCGGCGUGCUUAACACAUGCAAGUCGAACGGAAAGGCCCUGCUUUUGUGGGGUGCUCGAGUGGCGAACGGGUGAGUAACACGUGAGUAACCUGCCCUUGACUUUGGGAUAACUUCAGGAAACUGGGGCUAAUACCGGAUAGGAGCUCCUGCUGCAUGGUGGGGGUUGGAAAGUUUCGGCGGUUGGGGAUGGACUCGCGGCUUAUCAGCUUGUUGGUGAGGUAGUGGCUUACCAAGGCUUUGACGGGUAGCCGGCCUGAGAGGGUGACCGGCCACAUUGGGACUGAGAUACGGACCAGACUCCUACGGGAGGCAGAAGUGGGGAAUAUUGCACAAUGGGCGGAAGCCUGAUGCAGCAACGCCGCGUGCGGGAUGACGGCCUUCGGGUUGUAAACCGCUUUCGCCUGUGACGAAGCGUGAGUGACGGUAAUGGGUAAAGAAGCACCGGCUAACUACGUG
rnacentral:rRNA from 1 species